GCGAAAAACCGCGUUGUCUUUUUCUUUUCCCCCUCUCACGAAACACCCAUUUCCCUCCACUCAACCCUAUUCCGUCUCACUUCCGACCCUUUCUCUCUCUCUCUCUCUCAAUCUCCUGCGCCCCUCUUCUCUAUCUCUCUCAAUCUCAAUCUCACGCAUCCCUUCACUACAAGAAAAAGCCGGUGAUCAUGGAAAUCACCAGCAGCCGUCCGCCCCUGCUUUUGAAACGUGGCUGCCGGUGAAAGGAUGCGAUUAAAACAGAAAACCUGGAGGGAAUUUUUCAUUUCCCUCUCUUAUUGCAGGCGCACACUCCCUCUUCUCUCUCUCUCUUGUCCGGCGCACUUCUCCCUGCCCUCUCCCUUCCCCGAUCUCUCUCUCCCAUCUCGCUUGUUCCUUUGCCUUCCUCGAUCUCUCUCCCUUCCUCUCCCUCCAUCUCUCGAUCUCCCUGAUUUCCCUCCCUCCAUCUCUCGAUCUCCCUGAUCUCCCUGAUCUCCCUGAAAGCAGCCAUUGAUCAAUCUCCCUCCAAUAGCUGACGAGAAUAGAAGAAAUCAGAGCACACGAAGUGAAAGUAUUAAUUUGCUGGAGAACAUAGGAGCAUGGUAUUUUGAGGAAAAGCAGGUCCUAUUAAUUUUUAGGGAUGCAUGCAACGCGGUAUUUGCAAUGCAUUCUGAUUCACCAUCGAUUGCUCGUAGUUUAUUAAAUCAUUUGGAAAAAAUAAACCAUUUUGUUGGUCUACUAAGCCAUGCUGUGGAUGGAAACGUCAUGAAGAUUAUCUCAUUUUGGAAGAUAACCAACCCUCUAAUUUUGUAUUGAUGAUGUUCAGAAGAGAAAUUCUAAGUGAGAAGGUAGACAUCUGGGUAAGUCAAUCAUCACCCUAUAUUUUAUAAAAGACUAAGAUCAGUCUAUCAUUUUUUGAACAAUGCAUGUUAAUGGUGUAUUUUAAUUUGACAUUAUCUACUUAGUAUAACACAUUCCUUUUCUACAUGGCUAGUAGAUUUAGCAUAUGCUGUAAUUGCCUGAUUGUAUACUUUACCAGAAAAUAUAACACUGAGAAUUACAUGGAAAAUCACAAUAGAGGAGAUCAAUUGCUUUAACUUGCAUUUUUCUGUUGUCUUCCAUUUCCUGCUUCCACUUUCAUCACUAACAUCUUUCUCAUUCAUGACUUCUUGCAUAUGAUUAAAAUAGGGAAAAAAUUACUGUGUUGCAUGAUUAGAAAUUGGAAAAAUCUGAAUUUUUUUGUGAAUAAUAUGGCUAAGGUUCGUAACAUCUGCUACCAAGUAAUAAAAAUUGACUGCAUUGAAUCAAAGAAAAAUAGAAUAAACUGGAUUUCUCUUGAAAAUCCCUCAUUGGAAGCUAGGUAUAAAAAAAUGGUUAUGUAAAAGUAACAGUGGGACCUCAUUACGCAAUAGCAGGGCUGUAAUGCCUGAUCUGAAAAUAAAAAAGGCUUGUAAUGAGCCUGUAAUGGCUGUAACAGGUUUGUAAUGGACUGAUAAUGGGGGCAAUAUUUUUUUUUUAUUAAAUUUUUUUUUUGACUGCUAUGGCCCCUAUUGUAUUGUCCAUAUGGCCAGCCAUUAUGGCAGCUGUUACUGUUACCGUUACCGUUACCGAAUACUUUUAUUUGAAUCCUCACCCAAGUGCACGAAUCAAGGUCUUGUAGGGUUGUGAACAUUUAGUAAAUGGUACUAAAAUGCAUGCUAGAUCCUAAAUCAUACAUUAUCUACCUUGGGUAGGAUAUGAGACCUUUUAGAACUAUUGUUGGCAAUGUACCUCCUCCAUAUUUUGCGUGUAAUUUACCUCAAAAGGAAGUCUACUUAUUUUCUUAUCAUAGUGCAUCUGAGAUCCUUGAAACUAUCCUAGAUUAGUGCAUCUGUAAUUCUGCGACGGAUUUCAUGGUAAAAAGAAAUCUUAGAUUCAUGAUAAUUGCCUAAUAGCCAUCAUAUCUAAGAAAUGAGUGGAGUUGUAGUCUUUGGUGUCAUAGUUUCAUGAAUUACCAUAAUAUAGACUGUAGGAUGUUUUUCAUUAAUUUGUUCUUAGAUUAUCUAUACAUUCAAGCCUAUUUAAACAAGUUCUAGUUGGACAGAUGUGUUCAAAAAGUUCUAUCUGAACAAAACCAUAACUUUUGAGGUUAACCAAACAGGCUAGUUUGUAUAGUAAAUUGUGGCCCCCCAAGGAUUGAAAUGUCCUAAUAUUUAGGCUAGAGGAUCUAAACAGUGUAUCUCAUUUGAUCAAAAGCUCAAAUAUUUCACAGGUGUGCCAUCCUGACGUGUGCUCGAAUAGGUAG